rnacentral:misc_RNA from 1 species
CAGACUUUACAUCCUUGGACAUAUUUUCUUCAUUAUCAAAGGAUGCUUCAUCCUCUAGCUGUAAACCAAUGCAAUCAAUCACCAACCAUCAUCCAUGGAGUCCAAAUUAAGGUGCUUUCCACUUGUUCCCAUUAAGGUCCUUUCACCAUUUUCUGUCAUUAUUGCGACCUUUCCCACUGCCAAAGCCAUUAGAGAACCUAUCAUUUCUUCUAUCAGAAAAUCCCCGGCCCCUGCCACCUCUGCCCCCCGAGAACCUACUACCACCACUCCUGUCACUGAAGCCACCCCGACCUCGACCACCACCGCCACCAAAUCUUCCCCUUGAUUGGUCUCUUUCUUGCAAGGGAGGCAGUACUUUUAGCACCUCUAAGCUGACAUUAGCUGCAUUUUCCUGACCAACAAGAAAUGUGUCCAGAUCUGUUGCAGGCACAUCAAACACAACACCAUUCCCAUCAGCUGUGAGCGUCAUACCCUUCACUGCUAAGUCAAUCUUAUCCUCAGGCAAGAAUCUCCUCAAGAUGCCAAAACCAAAUGAUAGUGUGUAGAUGGGUUUUCCAGCUUCAAGGAGCAAUGUAACAUGGUUCUCCAUGGAUGUUAGAAGUGAUCUAUUCUUUAUCUCAGUGUAACCAGCAGCCUUGGCAAGGGCUUUUGCAAGUAAUUCUACUGCUGACAAACCCGAUGUAUUCAACAGAUCUUCUGCUGCAGACUUAAAUGCAGGAACCACACUGUCAGAAACCUG